UCGACGGACUCAUAUUGAAACCUAGUGAUUUAUGAGUUAGUGGCGGACGGGUGAGUAACGCGUGGAAAACCUGCCGUAUACCGGGGGAUAACACUUAGAAAUAGGUGCUAAUACCGCAUAAGCGCACAGCUUCGCAUGAAGCAGUGUGAAAAACUCCGGUGGUAUAUGAUGGUUCCGCGUCUGAUUAGCUAGUUGGCGGGGUAACGGCCCACCAAGGCAGCGAUCAGUAGCCGGCCUGAGAGGGUGAACGGCCACAUUGGGACUGAGACACGGCCCAAACUCCUACGGGAGGCAGCAGUGGGGAAUAUUGCACAAUGGGGGAAACCCUGAUGCAGCGACGCCGCGUGAGUGAAGAAGUAUUUCGGUACGUAAAGCUCUAUCAGCAGGGAAGAAAAUGACGGUACCUGACUAAGAAGCCCCGGCUAACUACGUGCCAGCAGCCGCGGUAAUACGUAGGGGGCAAGCGUUAUCCGGAUUUACUGGGUGUAAAGGGAGCGCAGACGGCAGCGCAAGUCUGGAGUGAAAUGCCGGGGCCCAACCCCGGAACUGCUUUGGAAACUGUGCAGCUUGAGUGCGGGAGAGGUAAGUGGAAUUCCUAGUGUAGCGGUGAAAUGCGUAGAUAUUAGGAGGAACACCAGUGGCGAAGGCGGCUUACUGGACCGUAACUGACGUUGAGGCUCGAAAGCGUGGGGAGCAAACAGGAUUAGAUACCCUGGUAGUCCACGCCGUANACGAUGAUUACUAGGUGUCGGGGNACCAAGGUCCUCCGGUGCCGGCGCAAACGCAUUAAGUAAUCCACCUGGGGAGUACGUUCGCAAGAAUGAAACUCAAAG
rnacentral:rRNA from 1 species